GACGAACGCUGGCGGCGUGCUUAACACAUGCAAGUCGGACGAAGUGGCGAACGGGUGAGUAACGCGUAAUCAACCUGCCCUUAAGAGGGGGACAACAGUUGGAAACGACUGCUAAUACCGAAUACUGAAGGAGGGGAUUGCGUGUGAUUAGCUAGUUGGAGGGGUAACGGCCCACCAAGGCGAUGAUCAGUAGCCGGUCGGAGAGGAUGAUCAGUCACACUGGAACUGAGACACGGUCCAGACUCCUACGGGAGGCAGCAGUGGGGAAUAUUGGACAAUGGGCGAAAGCCCGAUCCAGCCAUGCCGCGUGUGUGAAGAAGGUCUUCGGAUUGUAAAGCACUUUAAGUUGGGAGGCGUUACCAACAGAAUAAGCACCGGCUAACUUCGUGCCAGCAGCCGCGGUAAUAC
rnacentral:rRNA from 1 species